rnacentral:lncRNA from 1 species
UAGUUUCUCAGGUAUAUUCUUGAUGUUGUUAUGCUUGACUUUAUUGGCUUUUGCGUUUGCAUUUGAAUUUUUAUUGUGUUUUCAUUUGAAUUUUUUUUGGAGGCAUGAAAUUUGGUGUUUGAAUGCAAAGAGUGCAAUAUAAAUUUUCCCCAAGAUGGAUUCGUGGGACUAUAGAUUUGGGAAGUUCCCAAUCCUCUGCUCAGAUCGAAUAGAUAAGUUGAGUGCUUUUGAAUUUUCAAUUUUUUUCAUUCCGUUUUUGUGUGGUUUUUAUACUGUUUGAGAUUGAGCUUGUCAUUUCAGGAAGGAUAGCCGUUCCCAUUACCUGAUUUGCAGUCUAGGACCUCAAUGAUCGAUUGCACCGACUUACAGUAUAUAGCUUGCUGAUUUGAUUUUCAUUUUUUAGCAGUUUAUCAGGUAAAGUUACAGUUUACAUGCAACAUACUCAAAUAAAGAAAACUGCAUUUCUUUCUUUCUGAGUUUCAAUCUGAUUUUUGUUUCUUUCUUUCUUUCUUCUUUUUGCUAUUGAAUGCCACCCGAAUACUAAAUUGGAGAGAUAACUGGACCUGGCUA